UAAAAGUGCUUUGAGUGGUCGGAAGACUAGAAAGGCGCUAUAUAAGUACAGGUCCAUUUACCACUUACUUUUCUGGAUAACAAAAGUAAGAUUCUAACUAAUUAUUUUUUGCAGGUGACUGUAAUAUUAUUAAAAUGUAUGAGUAAUAACUUACAUUACUAGUUACUGGGGAAAGUAAUAUAAUUGCUGUAAGAUUAUUAUUAGUAGUGAGUUACUGCCCAACACUGUACAGGACUAAGGCAGUAAAUCAGGCAAUUAAAAAAUCCAGAAGGUUUAACCCCAGACAAUAAAGAUGAAUUCUAAUAAUAAAACAGGUCAAAUAUGUUGACAAUAUAAUACUGUGCUAGAAUGAAUAAAAUGCUUUUAGUGUUUUAUAAUAUGUCACUGAUAGGUGGCAGAGUGCUUUCACAUUCCUGUUUUACCUGUUUUAGGUUUUGCAGCCCUUCUCACACUCAAACACUUACCAGGUGAUGUUGGCUAAGUGUGAAAGGGUUCAGUGCUCAGUGGACACUGGGAUUUAAAAAAAAACAGUGCAACAAAACAGGACAGUGAGGGAGAUGUCAGUCAUGGACAGUUUGCAUACACACACACAAUCCUGAGGUGAGCUCUAAGCAGACAUAAUAAAAUGACAACCCUUUAUGUGUUUAUGUUAAAAAAAAAAAGAAUAGUAGCUCAUAUGUUGAUCCUGGUCAGCCUCAGUACUGGUUAGUCCCCCACACACCAGCAGCAGAUAUCUGGGCUAUUAGACCUGUGCUUGUUCUCCUGUGAGGUGACAGCACAUCUUUGUCUAUCGUCGCUGUUAAAAUAGAGACAUCACACCUUCAGUCUCACCGUUAUGAAAAGAAUAUUUAUUAAGACAUUUCCGGUGAAGAUUAGUUCUUCAGAAUCUUCCAAAUCUCAAAUAACAUUAUUAUCAUUAUUAUUAUUAUUAUAUUUUCUUGGUUUGCUUCGACUUGUCUACUUCUACAUUUUUCUACAUAUUUCCCAGAAAGCCUUUCCACAACCCUUCCCCAAACUGGGUUCAAACCUAUGCCCUUUUUCAGGGUGAAAGCACCUUUAGCUGUGUGUUUUGAUAUUUCAGAGUGGAUGUUUUCAGAAUAUCUGCACUGCCUGCAGAAAAGUGUUUGAUGGGAUUUCUUCACUGUGUCACACUGUGUUAUAUAAAAUAAUAUAAAGAAUAUAUAUAAAAGAAUAUCUUCUGAAUUAAGAGUAAAUAAGUUUAUUUUACAGCUUCGAUUGCCAUACACUAUCAGUCCUCUAAGAUGCAGUAGAAGAGCUGGUUGUGGUAUAUCGGUGUAUGAGAUACAUUAUGUGUGGGUUUAUUUAACACUGUUGAAUAGAUUUCUAUGAAAAAAUAGAGCUUGUGAAUAUUGAUAUGCAGAAUUUACCCAAAGACACUCCUAUACAGACUUAACUGUUUAAAGAAUACAUUGUUUCAGAGUUUUAUGUAGAUGAAUAUAGAAAUGCUAUACAGAUAUAUGAGACAUAUGUAGCUUCUUUUAACAUAGCUGUUGGUCAUUGUGCUUCUGCAGAACUGUCCAUUUGUACUAUUUGACGUGACUAUUGCCAAAAAGAAAGAACUUUUUAGGUCAAGCUUCUUUACCCUGCUGAGUUAUUUCAUCAUCAGAGACCCCUUCAGACAGACUAAGGCUAAACACAUCCAGAACUGGUGCAGACCUCCGCCAAGGCCAAUAGUCCUGUCUUUUAUGAUAUGCAGAUCUGCAAACCAUUCACUUUGCACAGGUCGGAAAAUCUGGAAUUAACCUGGAAAAAUCACAUCCAUGAUUAUUUCUUCCAUACCUGCUGCAUUUGUUUCUACGUUGAUGUUGUAGGUGUGUUGUUGCAUUCGUGAUGAAUUUAGCUCAUUUAGCCAUAUACCCUUCCACCGAGGUUCAUAAAAAAGCGGGUAGGGCUGCACGAUAUGGUGCUGUUAUUUUGACAGAUAUUGUGAUGUGAUUAACGAUUAGUGGGAAUGAUCAUUUUUUCAGCGCGUAUUUAUUUAUUUUAUUUUUUUCAUCAUUUAUUGCCUUUUAAUUGAUAGUGACAGCUGAAGACAGACAGGAAAGGGAGGUAGAGAGAGGAUCACACGCAGCAAAGGGUCAGACUCGAACCCUUGGCCGCUGCAGCAAGCACUCCGUACAUGGUUGCCAGCUCUACCCACUGAGCUAACUGGGUGUUCAGUUUUCACUGACUUUUAAAAUCAGGAUAAUGUGAAAUUUGUUUGGGUCAGUACCAAAAUCAAAACAUGUUCUCUUAAAUCUGGAGAACAAGAUCAGUGGAUCUCUGCAGCACUACAGUACUUCAAUAUAAUGCUGUUUGACACACAAUGUACAAACAAAUUGCAGCUUCUACCAAUUGCAUAUUGCACUUGGCCACAUUGCAAUUUUGAUUAAUUGUGCAGCCCUAAUAUCGGGUCAGUAGUUGUUGCAUAAUCCUGCUGACAGAAACAUGCAAACGGCACCAAAAACAUAAUCUCCUUGGUGGAGGUCAUAAAGGAACACUCCAUUAUUCUGGGAAAUCUGCUUCUCAGAGUCAGAUAAGAGGAUGGGUAUCAGUGCAGAGGUACGUUCAGGACUUCUCAGCAAAGCCACUGUAAAUGUCCACUUCUCAAGUUCAAGCACUUGGUUCUGGUUAAAGAAACAUUUAUUUAAACAAAUCUACUGUAACAUUAAACCUUAAAAAAAUAUUGAAUUGAAUUAUUUCCCUGACAUUGAACAGUGUUUUAGUAGCUUAAGCUACUGUGGCUACUUAAGUGUACAUGUGGCACCCAAGACAUGACCUGUCGCCUCUGGUCCUACACUGUACAUGCACCAUCCACCCCCAACCCCCUAAGGCAGCACUACUUCUUAAAGUUCCCCUCCAGUCAGAAAUCUGUUUCUUAUUCAACACUAGAAGGAUGUUUUCACAUUCAUCCGCUCAAAGUGGAAAGUUUCUCUGAGCUCAUUGAAAAGCUGAUUUUUAAGGGGCGGGGCCUCACAAAUAGUUUUGAAGUCAUACCUGGUCCAGUAUGCAACUCGUACAGUGUGAUGUAGAAACUUGAAGCCACCAGUGCAUAUCCACUGAGAAUGGACUUUACAGUGAAGUAGGAGACAUCUUGUGUCCAGCAGGGAAACUUUAGAAACGAACAACAUUUGUAUAUUCAGAGAUUCUGGAAGUUUUAAUGAGGUAGAAGGAGUAGAUGCCUUUCUAAGGAUGUGGAAAUUCUACUUUUCUUUGCAGGAAAAAACAUAUCAGACACACAUUAUUUAUAUAUCCUGGAUCUGUCUGUAACCUGGAGAUAAACACUGUGAUGAACUGAUUGAUUCAUCUUCCUAUCUGACUCUGAACUGCAAAAUGUCAGCCUGUUUUUUCUCGAUUUUUCUGUGUGAGGCAGCAACAUGAGGUGUUUGGUUUGAAAUUGUGAUUUAACUGUUUGGACCUUUUACUGUGUUCUGUGAUUAAAAACCUUUUGAAAUUUCCUUAUUCAAACCUAAAGGCACAGUUAAAUAUAAGCCUUCACUUGUAUGCAAAUAGUUUAUUUCGUUUGUUAUUGUUUUGUUAUCUGACCACAAUCUGAACCUGUGCAUGCCUUUAACAGUUUCUCUGUCAAUAUGAAACAUGUUGAGUUUACAGCACUGUAAAUAACUGUGUUUUCUGUUUUUGUAAGCUGUUAGCUCUCAUAGACUUCAGCUUCCUAUGAGGUUGGAGAACUAAUAAAGGGCUUCCUUAGUGUUUAAA